rnacentral:rRNA from 1 species
UGGGGAAUAUUGCACAAUGGGGGAAACCCUGAUGCAGCAACGCCGCGUGAGUGAUGACGGCCUUCGGGUUGUAGAGCUCUGUCUUCAGGGACGAUAAUGACGGUACCUGAGGAGGAAGCCACGGCUAACUACGUGCCAGCAGCCGCGGUAAUACGUAGGUGGCAAGCGUUGUCCGGAUUUACUGGGCGUAAAGGGAGCGUAGGCGGACUUUUAAGUGAGAUGUGAAAUACCCGGGCUCAACCUGGGUGCUGCAUUUCAAACUGGAAGUCUAGAGUGCAGGAGAGGAGAGUGGAAUUCCUAGUGUCGCGGUGAAAUGCGUAGAGAUUAGGAAGAACACCAGUGGCGAAGGCGACUCUCUGGACUGUAACUGACGCUGAGGCUCGAAAGCGUGGGGAGCAAACA